AUUGAACGCUGGCGGCAUGCCUUACACAUGCAAGUCGAACGGUAACAGGUUAAGCUGACGAGUGGCGAACGGGUGAGUAAUGUAUCGGAACGUGCCCAGUCGUGGGGGAUAACUGCUCGAAAGAGCAGCUAAUACCGCAUACGACCUGAGGGUGAAAGCGGGGGAUCGCAAGACCUCGCGCGAUUGGAGCGGCCGAUAUCAGAUUAGGUAGUUGGUGAGGUAAAGGCUCACCAAGCCGACGAUCUGUAGCUGGUCUGAGAGGACGACCAGCCACACUGGGACUGAGACACGGCCCAGACUCCUACGGGAGGCAGCAGUGGGGAAUUUUGGACAAUGGGCGCAAGCCUGAUCCAGCCAUGCCGCGUGCCGGAAGAAGGCCUUCGGGUUGUAAACCGCUUUUGUCAGGGAAGAAAAGGUUCUGGCUAAUACCUGGGACUCAUGACGGUACCUGAAGAAUAAGCACCGGCUAACUACGUG
rnacentral:rRNA from 1 species